rnacentral:rRNA from 1 species
CUACGAAAGGUGCAAGCGUUGUUCGGAUUUACUGGGCGUAAAGAGAUCGUAGGUGGUUUGUUAAGUCGGAUGUGAAAUCCCGGGGCUCAACCCCGGAACUGCAUUCGAUACUGGCAGGCUAGAGUUUGGGAGGGGUAAGCGGAAUUCCGUGUGUAGCAGUGAAAUGCGUAGAUAUACGGAGGAACACCUGAGGCGAAGGCGGCUUACUGGACCAAUACUGACACUGAGGAUCGAAAGCGUGGGUAGCAAACAGGAUUAGAUACCCUAGUAGUCC